rnacentral:rRNA from 1 species
UUUUUACGGAGAGUUUGAUCCUGGCUCAGGAUGAACGCUGGCGGCGUGCUUAACACAUGCAAGUCGAACGGUGAACACGGAGCUUGCUCUGUGGGAUCAGUGGCGAACGGGUGAGUAACACGUGAGCAACCUGCCCCUGACUCUGGGAUAAGCGCUGGAAACGGCGUCUAAUACUGGAUAUGUGACGUGACCGCAUGGUCUGCGUUUGGAAAGAUUUUUCGGUUGGGGAUGGGCUCGCGGCCUAUCAGCUUGUUGGUGAGGUAAUGGCUCACCAAGGCGUCGACGGGUAGCCGGCCUGAGAGGGUGACCGGCCACACUGGGACUGAGACACGGCCCAGACUCCUACGGGAGGCAGCAGUGGGGAAUAUUGCACAAUGGGCGAAAGCCUGAUGCAGCAACGCCGCGUGAGGGAUGACGGCCUUCGGGUUGUAAACCUCUUUUAGCAGGGAAGAAGCGAAAGUGACGGUACCUGCAGAAAAAGCGCCGGCUAACUACGUGCCAGCAGCCGCGGUAAUACGUAGGG